CAGUAGCCACGGUAAUACGUAGGUCCCGAGCGUUGUCCGGAUUUAUUGGGCGUAAAGGGAGCGCAGGCGGUUUAGUAAGUCUGAAGUUAAAGGCAUUGGCUCAACCAAUGUAUGCUUUGGAAACUGUUAGACUUGAGUGCAGAAGGGGAGAGUGGAAUUCCAUGUGUAGCGGUGAAAUGCGUAGGUAUAUGGAGGAACACCGGUGGCGAAAGCGGCUCUCUGGUCUGUCACUGACGCUGAGGCUCGAAAGCGUGGGUAGCGAACAGGAUUAGAUACCCCCGUAGUCCCUGUCUCUUAUACC
rnacentral:rRNA from 1 species